ensembl:lncRNA
CGGAGGAAGAGGAGGAGGAUGAGAAGGAGAUGGUGCAGGAGGAGGUGUUGCAGGAGGAGGAGAAGGAGGAGGAUGAGAAGGAGGUGGUGCGGGAGGAAAAAGAGAAGGAGGUGGUUCAGGAUGAGGAGGAGAAGGAGGUGGUGCAGGUGGAAGAGGAGGAGGAUGAGAAGGAGGUGGUGCAGGAGGAAGAGGAUGAGAAGGAUGUGGUGCAGGAGGAAGAGGAGGAGGAGGAGAAGGAGGUGGUUCAGGAGGAAGAGGAGGAGGAUGAGGUGGUGCAGGAGGAAGAAGAGGAGAGGAGGUGGUGCAGGAGGAAGAGGAGGAGGAUGAGAAGGAGGUGGUGCAGGAAGAAGAGGAGGAGGAUGAGAAGGAGGUGGUGCAGGAAGAAGAGGAGGAGGAUGAGAAGGAGGUGGUGCAGGAAGAAGAGGAGGAGGAUGAGAAGGAGGUGGUGCAGGAGGAAGAGGAGGAGGAUGAGAAGGAGGUGGUGCAGGAGGAAG